UACGGAGGGGGCUAGCGUUGUUCGGAAUUACUGGGCGUAAAGCGCACGUAGGCGGCUUUGUAAGUUAGAGGUGAAAGCCCAGGGCUUAACCCUGGAAUUGCCUUUAAGACUGCAUCGCUAGAAUUGUGGAGAGGUAAGUGGAAUUCCGAGUGUAGAGGUGAAAUUCGUAGAUAUUCGGAAGAACACCAGUGGCGAAGGCGGACUUACUGGACACAUAUUGACGCUGAGGUGCGAAAGCGUGGGGAGCAAACAGG
rnacentral:rRNA from 1 species